AGAGUUUGAUCAUGGCUCAGAUUGAACGCUGGCGGCAUGCCUUACACAUGCAAGUCGAACGGCAGCACGGGAGCAAUCCUGGUGGCGAGUGGCGAACGGGUGAGUAAUACAUCGGAACGUGCCCAGUAGUGGGGGAUAGCCCGGCGAAAGCCGGAUUAAUACCGCAUACGACCUACGGGUGAAAGCGGGGGAUCGCAAGACCUCGCGCUAUCGGAGCGGCCGAUGUCAGAUUAGCUAGUUGGUAGGGUAAAAGCCUACCAAGGCAACGAUCUGUAGCUGGUCUGAGAGGACGACCAGCCACACUGGGACUGAGACACGGCCCAGACUCCUACGGGAGGCAGCAGUGGGGAAUUUUGGACAAUGGGCGCAAGCCUGAUCCAGCCAUGCCGCGUGCGGGAAGAAGGCCUUCGGGUUGUAAACCGCUUUUGUCAGGGAAGAAACGCUCUGAGCUAAUACCUCGGAGUAAUGACGGUACCUGAAGAAUAAGCACCGGCUAACUACGUGCCAGCAGCCGCGGUAAUAC
rnacentral:rRNA from 1 species